rnacentral:rRNA from 1 species
GACAGAGGGUGCAAACGUUGUUCGGAAUUACUGGGCGUAAAGCGUGUGUAGGCGGCUUUGCAAGUCGGAUGUGAAAGCCCGGGGCUCAACCUCGGAAGUGCACUCGAUACUGCAGAGCUAGAGUUUCGGAGAGGUUGGUGGAAUUCUCGGUGUAGAGGUGAAAUUCAUAGAUAUCGAGAGGAACACCGGUGGCGAAGGCGGCCAACUGGACGAAGACUGACGCUGAGACACGAAAGCGUGGGGAGCAAACAGG